GCAGGGGUACCCAAGCUGGUCAAAGGGGCAGGACUCAGAAUCCUGUAGGCGAAGGCCUUUCGUGGGUUCAAAUUCAGUUUAAUGUUUUCAUUGGCUGAGGGAUAUCCCAUCCCCUGCA
rnacentral:tRNA from 1 species